AGAGUUUGAUCAUGGCUCAGGAUGAACGCUGGCGGUCUGCUUAACACAUGCAAGUCGAACGGAGUAGAAAUACUUAGUGGCGGACGGGUGAGUAACGCGUGAGAAUCUGCCUUCAGGACGGAGACAACAGUUGGAAACGACUGCUAAGCCCCGAUGAACCGAAAGGGAAAAUAUUUAUAGCCUGAAGAUGAGCUCGCGUCCGAUUAGCUAGUUGGCGGAGUAAAAGCCCACCAAGGCGACGAUCGGUAGCUGGUCUGAGAGGACGAUCAGCCACACUGGGACUGAGACACGGCCCAGACUCCUACGGGAGGCAGCAGUGGGGAAUUUUCCGCAAUGGGCGAAAGCCUGACGGAGCAAGACCGCGUGGGGGAAGAAGGCUCUUGGGUUGUAAACCCCUUUUCUCUGGGAAGAAAGUUGUGAAAGCAACCUGACGGUACCAGAGGAAUCAGCAUCGGCUAACUCCGCGCCAGCAGCCGCGGUAAGACGGAGGAUGCAAGCGUUAUCCGGAAUGAUUGGGCGUAAAGCGUCCGCAGGUGGCAGUUCAAGUCUGCUGUCAAAGACCGGGGCUUAACUUCGGAGAGGCAGUGGAAACUGAACAGCUAGAGUAUGGUAGGGGCAGAGGGAAUUCCUGGUGUAGCGGUGAAAUGCGUAGAGAUCAGGAAGAACAUCGGUGGCGAAGGCGCUCUGCUGGACCAUAACUGACACUCAGGGACGAAAGCUAGGGGAGCGAAUGGGAUUAGAUACCCCAGUAGUCCUAGCCGUAAACGAUGGAUACUAGGUGUUGUCUGUAUCGACCCGGACAGUGCCGUAGCUAACGCGUUAAGUAUCCCGCCUGGGGAGUACGCACGCAAGUGUGAAACUCAAAGGAAUUGGCGGGGGCCCGCACAAGCGGUGGAGUAUGUGGUUUAAUUCGAUGCAACGCGAAGAACCUUACCAGGACUUGACAUGUCGCGAAUCCUCUGGAAACAGAGGAGUGCCUUCGGGAGCGCGAACACAGGUGGUGCAUGGCUGUCGUCAGCUCGUGUCGUGAGAUGUUGGGUUAAGUCCCGCAACGAGCGCAACCCUCGUGUUUAGUUGCCAUCAUUAAGUUGGGCACUCUAAACAGACUGCCGGUGACAAACCGGAGGAAGGUGGGGAUGACGUCAAGUCAGCAUGCCCCUUACGUCCUGGGCUACACACGUACUACAAUGGUAGGGACAGAGGGCAGCCAACCCGCGAGGGCGAGCUAAUCCCGUAAACCCUGCCUCAGUUCAGAUUGCAGGCUGCAACUCGCCUGCAUGAAGGCGGAAUUGCUAGUAAUCGCAGGUCAGCAUACUGCGGUGAAUCCGUUUCCGGGCCUUGUACACACCGCCCGUCACACCAUGGAAGUUGGCCACGCCCGAAGUCAUUACUCUAACCUUUCGAGGAGGAGGAUGCCGAAGGCAGGGCUGAUGACUGGGGUGAAGUCGUAACAAGGUAACC
rnacentral:rRNA from 1 species